rnacentral:rRNA from 1 species
GACGAACGCUGGCGGCGUGCCUAACACGUGCAAGUCGAGCGGAGUGCAGUGUCUAAGAGGCUUCGGCCGAAUUAAUCUGUACUUAGCGGCGGAUGGGUGAGGAACGCGUGGAGAACCUGCCCUUCACAGGGGGAUAACAUCUGGAAACGGAUGUUAAUACCGCAUAUGCUCACAGCACCGCAUGGUGCAGGGAGGAAAGCCGAGACGGUGAAGGAUGGCUCCGCGUCGGAUUAGCCAGUUGGCGGGGUAACGGCCCACCAAAGCGAUGAUCCGUAGCCGGCCUGAGAGGGCGACCGGCCACAUUGGGACUGAGACACGGCCCAAACUCCUACGGGAGGCAGCAGUGGGGGAUAUUGCACAAUGGGGGGAACCCUGAUGCAGCGACGCCGCGUGAAGGAAGACGUGCUUCGGCAUGUAAACUUCUAUCAGCAGGGAAGAAGAUGACGGUACCUGACUAAGAAGCCCCGGCUAACUACGUGCCAGCAGCCGCGGUAAUACGUAGGGGGCGAGCGUUAUCCGGAUUUACUGGGCGUAAAGCGCGUGUAGGAGGCUUAGCAAGUUGGAUGUAAAAUCUCCCGGCUUAACUGGGAGGCGUCGUUCAAAACUGCCAAGCUGGAGUAGCGGAGAGGUAAUCGGAACUCCGGGAGUAGCGGUGAAAUGCGUAGAUAUCCGGAAGAACACCAGAGGCGAAAGCGGAUUACUGGCCGCCAACUGACACUGAGGCGCGAAAGCCAGGGUAGCAAACGGGAUUAGAGACCCCGGUAGUCCUGGCCGUAAACGAUGUAGACUCGUCGUUUGGGGGGUAAAACCCUUGAGUGACUAAGCAAACGCGAUAAGUCUACCGCCUGGGGAGUACGGUCGCAAGAUUAAAACUCAAAGGAAUUGACGGGGGCCCGCACAAGCAGCGGAGCGUGUGGUUUAAUUCGAUGAUACACGAAGAACCUUACCAGGGUUUGACAUACAUGUGGUAGUGAAGGGAAACUGGAACGACCCCUCGGGGAGCAUGAACAGGUGCUGCAUGGCUGUCGUCAGCUCGUGUCGUGAGAUGUUCGGUUAAGUCCGCUAACGAGCGCAACCCUUGUUGUGUGUUACACGUAUCACGCAAGACCGCCGGUAGAAAGCCGGAGGAAGGUGGGGAUGACGUCAAGUCAGCAUGGCCUUUAUAUCCUGGGCUACACACACGCUACAAUGGGCAGAACAAUGGGAAGCCAAGCCGCGAGGCGGAGCGAAUCCUCCAAAACUGUCCUCAGUUCAGAUUGCAGGCUGCAACUCGCCUGCAUGAAGAUGGAGUUGCUAGUAAACGCAGGUCAGCGAUACUGCGUUGAAUACGUUCCCGGGCCUUGUACACACCGCCCGUCACGUCAUGGGAGUUGGCAACACCUGAAGCCGGUAUCUUAACCGAAAGGAGGGAGCCGUCAAAGGUGGGGUUGAUAACUGGGACAA